rnacentral:rRNA from 1 species
ACGCAACGCGCAGAACCUUACCUGGGCUUGACAUCCCGAUCGCAUCCCAUGGAAACAUGGAGUCAGUUCGGCUGGAUCGGUGACGGGUGCUGCAUGGCUGUCGUCAGCUCGUGUCGUGAGAUGUUGGGUUAAGUCCCGCAACGAGCGCAACCCUUGUCCUUAGUUGCCAGCAUUCAGUUGGGCACUCUAAGGAGACUGCCGGUGUUAAACCGGAGGAAGGUGGGGAUGACGUCAAGUCCUCAUGGCCUUUAUGACCAGGGCUACACACGUACUACAAUGGCCGGUACAAAGGGCAGCGACACAGCGAUGUGAAGCCAAUCCCGAAAAGCCGGUCUCAGUCCGGAUUGGAGUCUGCAACUCGACUCCAUGAAGUUGGAAUCGCUAGUAAUCGCGGAUCAGCACGCCGCGGUGAAUACGUUCCCGGGCCUU